rnacentral:lncRNA from 1 species
UGAUUGUAUAUUGUUCUUGUUAUGUAGAUAAUUUCAUUAUUGUUUCUUCACUCUCAUUGCAAAGCAUCCUAGAUAAUAAUAAGUUGACCGGUCUGAAUUUUGUGGAGUGGAUGAGAAACUUGCACAUUAUUCUUACACAAGAAAAGAUCUCCUACAUUUUGGAUACUCCCAGCCUUGAUUUUAUUAAGGAAGAUGCUACUG